GGAUUAGAUACCCUGGUAGUCCUAGCUGUAAACGAUGGAUACUAGGUGUUGCUCGUAUCGACCCGAGCAGUAUCGUAGCCAACGCGUUAAGUAUCCCGCCUGGGGAGUACGCACGCAAGUGUGAAACUCAAAGGAAUUGACGGGGGCCCGCACAAGCGGUGGAGUAUGUGGUUUAAUUCGAUGCAACGCGAAGAACCUUACCAGGGAUUGACAUCCUACGAACCAUGCCGAAAGGUGUGGGUGCCUUCGGGAGCGUAGAGACAGGUGGUGCAUGGCUGUCGUCAGCUCGUGCCG
rnacentral:rRNA from 1 species